UACGGGGGGAGCAAGCGUUGUUCGGAAUUACUGGGCGUAAAGGGCGUGUAGGCGGCCUUGUAAGUCGGGGGUGAAAUCCACUGGCUCAACCAGUGACGUGCCUUCGAAACUGCUUGGCUUGAGUAUGGCAGAGGAGAGCGGAAUUCCAGGUGUAGCGGUGAAAUGCGUAGAUAUCUGGAGGAACACCGAUGGCGAAGGCAGCCUCCUGGGCCAAUACUGACGCUCAUGCACGAAAGCGUGGGGAGCAAACAGG
rnacentral:rRNA from 1 species